GGGGUUGUGGCUCAGUUGUAGAGCGCUUACCUAGCAUGCAUGAGGCACUGGGUUGGAUCCUCAGCACCACA
rnacentral:tRNA from 1 species